UUUUUUACAGGAUAAUCUGGUUCUGCAAUAGCACAGGGGAGUUUUGGCUGAUAUAGUGACAUCAGGCUCAGCGCUCCUGCCCCACACAAAGAAGAGUUCAUUCUGCUGGGGGUUGCCCUUCUCUUUCCAGCCCUUCCACCCCUGCACCUUUGGCUGCUGGAUGAUGCUCUUGUCAGCCCAGUGAAAAUUCUUGUGCAAUCCUGACAAAUGAACACCACAAGAAGUUGGAUCUGGAAAGACCAUCUUCAGCUGUUAUCGCCUGCCUUCACACACUCCGAGGCCAGAUGGCUGAAGAGAAGGCGUUCAGCCACCAGUCGGUGGGCACUACAGGACUUUCCCAUCAAUCCAGAGAAAGACAAUUCAUUUUUCCCUUUCUGGUAUCAUUCAGACUGCUGUGUGAUGGGAGACUCAAGGGUAACCAACAGCUAAUCCUUGCAGAGCUGGCAGCUCUGGGCAGUAGUCAUAGCUGGAGGGAGGAUACCAAAGACUUUAUGGGGAAAAUUCCCUCUGAUUGCAAAGGGCCAGAGUAAGUGGGGAGAGGUUACUUCUUAUUUUGGGGUAGUCCCUUGGGAUAGUCCAGAUGUGCUCCAUCAUGUCUGGUGGGGCGCAUCAAGUGAACAAAUAGUCUUUCAAGUGGAACCUUUGUCCUCCAAGGUAACUUUAAUGGGUUUUCACUAUUCCAUUAUUUCCCAUUGGUGGGUUUCCAUAUGGUUGCUGAAGAUCAUCAGGGAGUUGCACCAUCUGAAAGGGUAUUGUACCAAAGGUUCAACAUGUAGACCCAUAUUCAAGCCUGGAAGACUAAGAAACCAGACUCAUAGGUACAUGUGGCAAACAUAAGUGAGAUGGACAUGACUUAACACUUUGCCAAUAAAAAAGAAAACCCCCCAUCAGCAUUAUGACUUGCCAUCUUUCAUAAUGCAAUGAAACUGGAAGAUAAAUAGGGAACUUAGAAACCUCUAAUAGCUUUUAAAGAACGUGGUAUAGCUGCAGUCAAACAAAUGUGCCCGGGUUUUGAUGUUCUAAUAUAUUUUGUCAUUUCUUUUCUGGAAGAGAAAGGAGAAAGCAAUGAAAAUUAGGUUUUGUUUUCCAUUGUUUGUCCCAGCUCCAGCAGUAUGUGCAGAAGAUUGGGUACAUUGAGAUAGCCCUUGAAUAAUGUUGCGAAGGUGGACAGAGAUUAAGAAGAAAAGCAUCCAGUUUGGAGUCAGACAGUAUAAAGAAAUGAAAAUAAAAU
ensembl:lncRNA